UCGAGGAUCUUCGGCAAUGGGCGCAAGCCUGACCGAGCGACGCCGCGUGCGGGAUGAAGGCCUUCGGGUUGUAAACCGCUGUCAGGGGGGAUGAAAUCAUGGUGGGUACUCCCAUCAUGUUGACAGAGCCCCAGAGGAAGCGCGGGCUAAGUUCGUGCCAGCAGCCGCGGUAAUACGAACUGCGCGAACGUUAUUCGGAAUCACUGGGCUUACAGGGUGCGUAGGUGGCAGAGAAAGUAGGGUGUGAAAUGCCUUGGCUCAACCAAGGCACAGCGCUCUAAACUCCUUUGCUUGAGUGAGUCAGGGGUGCACGGAACUUCCGGUGGAGCGGUGAAAUGUGUUGAUAUCGGAAGGAACACCGGCGGCGAAAGCGGUGCACUGGGGCUUAACUGACACUGAGGCACGAAAGCCAGGGGAGCGAACGG
rnacentral:rRNA from 1 species